AGAAGAAGCAAACAGCCUGCAGAUGGGACACCUAUUCACCCCUGAUGCAAGUGUGACUGGAGCUAUUGAGUGACUGAUGAGAUCUGUUGUAACAAUCAUUCUGGCAAAGGUGUGGAGAUGGCUCAGAGGAUUGAGCUGGGAGCAGGGUGGCCUCAGCCACAUGUGCUACCAUGGCUCUGAGCAGGAUGCCAAGAGGGUCUAACAUCCCUGAAAGAGACAGCCUCUUGCCCUGGAAAGAUGCCAGAGAGGGAAGCAGGAGACUUGAGUUCUGAUCCGGAUCUCUCUGCCGUUGGGUGAUCCCCUGCCCUCCUCUGGACCUCAGUUUCCCCAUCUCUACGGUGAGGAUAAUAAUCCUAGUGCUAUUUCCCCAUAGAAAUGUUGUGAAGCCCAAAGGUGAGACCAAAAUCACUCAUUGGACAAACUCCAGGCAGGGUGGGAGUGUUGGCUGGGUAGAUGUGGUCAUCUGCCAAGUGGCCAUGCUGAGGCUUUGGGGGCUCUACUCCCACCACCAAUGGGGUCCUUCUCAGAGACUUGCACUCUCUUCUUCCAGCUCACUCAUAUUGUGGGGCUCAGAGAAUGUUAAUUAUUAGGGCCCAGCCCACAUGGAGGGCUUAAGAUGAAAGCAAGCUCAGAGUGUAAAGUCUAAUCAAUGCCCCACACUUGGCGUCAGGGCCUCGGCUUGGUCUGCUUGGAGAUGGAUCAUUAAUCUAGACACUCCGACUUGGAACACUGGGCACAGGAAGUCCUGAAAUAUUCCUGACCACCCACAGCUCAGUCUGUCAGCCCCAC
rnacentral:lncRNA from 1 species